CCUUCAUCCAGGCCGGCCUGGCCGAUCAUGUGCUUUAUGACGGCACACGGCUGCCGCUGGCAGAUGCGUCGUUCGACCGGGCGCUGGCGGU
rnacentral:tRNA from 1 species